rnacentral:rRNA from 1 species
UACAGAGGUCUCAAGCGUUGUUCGGAUUCAUUGGGCGUAAAGGGUGUGUAGGUGGCGCGCUAAGUCGGGUGUGAAAUUUCGGAGCUUAACUCCGAAACUGCAUUCGAUACUGGCGUGCUUGAGGACUGGAGAGGAGACUGGAAUUCAUGGUGUAGCAGUGAAAUGCGUAGAGAUCAUGAGGAAGACCAGCGGCGAAGGCGGGUCUCUGGACAGUUCCUGACACUGAGACACGAAGGCCAGGGGAGCAAACGGG